GGACCCCCUGAGGGACUGGGGGGGUCCGAGCCGCCCUGAAAGGAGCGGGUCUGCGCCGCCUGAGGGGCGGAGCCGGGGGGUCCCCGAAGGAGGGGUGGAAUGUGGGCCGCGAUGAAGGCAGCCCCAGGGCGACGAAGUGCUCCACCCGGAUGAAGCCGUCCGCAUCCUCGUCGCACACGUCGAAAACCUCCUUGAGCUUCCGCAGGAACCGCAGCAGGCUCGCCGGCUCCAUCGCGGGCAUUAGCUGGAGGCCGGCGGCACGGCCGCGGCCGCAGCAGCCAUGAUCGCCCGCGCCUUCAGCGGUUUUUUAGACUGGUUUUUAAGCCCACAGCCAGGAGCUACCAGGGGGAAAACCAGGAAUGAUUCUGGUUCCUGCCUUGUGCCUCAGACCAGGAAUGACGGGGCAGCGCCUUGUGGAGGAAGGAGCACUGGCUGAGUCAGGCUCAGAUUGCCUUGGAGUGCCUCCUUGCACCGCCUCUGACUCGCCUCUCUCUGUGCAGUUCUGGACAGUGAACUGUUGUGAGGAAAAAAAUAGAAAGGAAUAUCGCUUCCUAUUUGCCAGAACCAGAGGAGGAAUUCCUGCACCCCAGAGGGGGUCAAGCUCUGUCUCAUGGAAUCCAGUUAAUUUCUACUGACUCUCCUUUACUUUCUGCUGAAGGAAGAAGGAACUUGGUUCUAGAUAUACAAAUAAGUGGCAACAUAGAUUUAGACCAAAACUGUCAGCACUACAAUCUGUGCCAUUCUUGCAUUAACUUGUAAGGGGUGGGGGGAGUGGGAGGCGAAGAGAAAAAAAGCUCCAGCUAUAGACACUACAGUUUAGGGAGUUAAUAUUGAAGACUGAAACUGCCACAGACAGCUUGAGCACUGGAAUCAAACUGAUAAGGAGAGAUGAAGAGGCUGUAGAAGAUAUUGUAGACAGCUGAGUAUUUUGAGCAAAGAUCUGACAGCUGGGAGAUGAUUUGACAGCACUGAAUGCAGGAGAAUUGGGAUGUGGGAUGCUGUCAAUAAAGGUCCAAGAUCUGAAAGCUAGGAGUACCCCAAGUGUGUUGAAGACAGGACAUUGAGCUGAACAUGUGCCACAUGCUUGCUGGGCAACUGCACUGGCAGGGCACAGUUUGUAAGGCUGAAUUGAGGAGGAGGUACAUUUUUAUUGCCAGUGGAUCUCUGCUUCUCCAGUUCUAGGUAGAACAUGUCUGCAAGUACCAAUGGGCUCUUUUUCCUUACUGGUUUAUCAAAGUAUUUGUUUAAUCGAAGAUGUUUGGCAACUUCUUCAUUUAACUCAUGCUCUAUGUGGAAUAAAUAUUUUACAUGCUGCAAAUCUAGCAGAAAGAUUGAAAGAUUGUGGUGGUGCUACCAUAUUUGCCUGUUCAGAAUAAAGAGUUCGGAAGGAAACAUUUCAUUCAA